UCAACUUUUUCGGCGUCGUCGACGGCGUUGACAUUAACUCCAGCAUAACAAGGGAAAUCACCAAAUUAAAAAUGCUUAUAAAAACAGAAAAAGUUUCUGUCACUCUGUCAGUACCCUAAGCAUAGACGCUCUAAAUUGUUCUGGUAUCUUUUCAUCGCGAAGUCGGAGAAGGCGAGCAAAGUCAAACAAUUUAUUUUCAAUGCGUCCCGCUCUGACGAAAAAUGUAAAUGGUCACAUUAGUCAUUAACAAUGCAGUCUUUGUUUAAUUCAGACAGGUAGAUAUAAGUUGCAAGCAUAAAUUAUACGCCAAGAGGCAAGAAAUUUGCCACAAAGAGCAUCAAUAUGGCAUCCAAAAGUAAGUUCACUGUCAACAAUCACACCAAGACUUUUAUGCCUGUCUAAAAAUAUUCUUUCAUUUUGAACAUAUAUAUGAAACUCUGGAUGAUCACGAUAAGAAGACCGAAAAAGAACUGCUUUGGAUUUUGAUGGGCUAAUUACGAAGCCAACUGUUUAUAUUGCUUUGACAUAUUUCAGGAAAAGCUGAUCUGCCACUGAAAAGCAAAAAUAUGUCAUCAGCAAACAUAAAGGUACGGCAGUCUAGAAAAAAAACGGAACCCUGUGGAACACCAGAAUGAAGAGGAAGAACGAUUGAAGGUUAUUAUAACUAACUGACUGGGUCCUAUUACUCAGAUACGAAAAGAUAAGCCUACAUGCCAAAUCAGAAAAUCUAUAUUCAUUCAGAAGUUUAAAAAUCAAUCGGUUGAAGUUUAUGGAAUUAAAAGCUUUUGACAGAUCAAGCGAAAUUAGGACACUAAGUUUGCCAUUAUUUAUAUCUUCCCGAAUGCUAUUAGUGAGAGAGAAGUAAAUGUGUCGCACUAUGUCCUGCUCGAAAAGCAAACUGAGAGUCGCAAAUAUAAUUAGAACAAUGGUGAAUGAUUUGGUCCUUAAGAAUAUGCUCAAUUAUUUUUGAUAUAGCUGGAAGAAUAGAAAUGACACGCAAAUCAUCAGGCUCACAAACAUUUUUUGUUUUUGGUAUAGAUGAGGCUCGCGCUCUUUUCCAAUCUUAGGGAAAUGUUGAAGUCAUUAAAACACAAUUAACCAAAUCAAUAAUAACUGUUGAUAUAUAUGGAAAAAUUAAUUUUAUAAACGUUAUUGCAAUAAAAUCCAACCCAACAGCUUUUGAUUUGACCUUAUUUAAAGCACACAAUACAUCUACUUCAUUGACACGAGCAAAAGAAGAACGACCGUUGUAGUCCAUGGAGGUAUCAACUCUAAUCAUCUCCUCCAAUUGAGAAUCACCAGCAAAGAAAGCAUUCAGAACAUCGACGUCAAUAUCAAAUCUAGCACCAUUACCACCAACACACCCGACAUUUCUUAAGAGUUUCCACAUAUCUGAAGGAUCAAUACCACUAAAUAUUCUAGAAAAAUAUCUCCUCCGUGACUUUUUCAUUACUCUUUUGGCUUUUUACGAUACCGGCACUAAGUCUUCCAAUUCAAGUCAGAUUUAUUACUAAGGAAUACAAAGAAUGCAAGAUCACUAAGUGAGUUUGCAAAACUUAAGGUGUCUCCAUUAUAAUGCAAUUAGUGUAAAUCGACGUUUAAAGAAGAUCGCGUUGCUUCAUCCACUAAUUUUCAGUAUUUCAUACACAUUCUUACGACACCAUUGGCACUAACUUCGUUUAUCAUUGCAAAUGUAUGAAUAUCAGUGAUAUCGAUAAAGGUAUCGAUAUAUGAUAUUGUGUAAAUCUAAAUUUUGUCAUCUUUAGCUAAAACUAUGACAAUCAUAUGUUUUGGAUAAGGCAAACACGGAAUUUUUCAAAAAGUGGAAACAAUCAUUUAAAGAGUCAAUACAUUUUUAGGUCUAAUACCGUUCAAAAGAAACAGUUAUGGGACUAAAAAGAAAUAUGCUGCAGGCUUUCGCGAAGAAUGGAAUGAAAAAUUUCCAUGGCUUAAGCAAAUAAAAUGCGGUAAGAAGUGUACGGUAUGUGACAUACCUAUUGCUGGGGGUUUGAGCCACAUUGAGUGCCA